rnacentral:rRNA from 1 species
UACGUAGGUGGCAAGCGUUAUCCGGAAUUAUUGGGCGUAAAGCGCGCGCAGGUGGUUUCUUAAGCCUGAUGUGAAAGCCCACGGCUCAACCGUGGAGGGUCAUUGGAAACUGGGAGACUUGAGUGCAGAAGAGGAAAGUGGAAUUCCAUGUGUAGCGGUGAAAUGCGUAGAGAUAUGGAGGAACACCAGUGGCGAAGGCGACUUUCUGGUCUGUAACUGACACUGAGGCGCGAAAGCGUGGGGAGCAAACGGG